GAUCAAGUCUCUUAAACCACUGAUUGAAAACCUGCAGAAGCAAAAGCAGGAGCUCCACAUCUUUUUGGAUAUGUAUGGACAAGAUUACUUUGAAAAGAGAGAUGUGAUAGAAAUCAAGGAAUCAGAACGUAGAGCUCAGGUGCAAGAUGAAGUCUUGAAAAAUGCUUUGGAUGAAUACAGUCUAGAGUUGCGAGUGAAGGCUACGAAUGAGGCUAAGGCAGCUUGCCAACAAAGGCUUUCUGCCACUUAAGCUGAAAUUGUU